rnacentral:rRNA from 1 species
CUAUACAUGACUCUGCGCAUACAAUAAGCGGAGGAAAAGAAACUAACAAGGAUUCCCCUAGUAACGGCGAGUGAAGCGGGAAGAGCUCAAAUUUGAAAUCUUAAAGGGUUUCCCUUUACGAAUUGUAGUUUAAAGAAGUGUUUUCUGUUGAGGUUUUGGUAAAAGUUCUUUGGAAUAGGACAUCAUAGAGGGUGAGAAUCCCGUAUUUGACCUUUACUUUCAACUUUGUGAUACACUUUCAAAGAGUCGGAUUGUUUGGGAAUGCAGUCCAAAAUGGGUGGUAAAUUUCAUCUAAAGCUAAAUAUUGGCGAGAGACCGAUAGCGAACAAGUACCGUGAGGGAAAGAUGAAAAGAACUUUGAAAAGAGAGUUAAACAGUACGUGAAAUUGUCAAAAGGGAAGCGUUUGACACCAGUGUUGUUUUUCUGAAAAUCAAUUAAAGAACUGUUUAUGCUAAGUUGUUUAGACUUUAUCAGCUAACUGUUUAGUUUUGAGCUUUUCUUUAAUGCACUUUUCAGUUAACAAGUCAACAUCAAUUUCUUUUGCUGUAAAAAAGCUUGAGGAAGGUGGCUUGAGAUUCGUCUUAAGUGUUUAUAGCCUCUUGCCUAUGCAGUCGGAGAGAUUGAGGUCUGCAGCGUAGAUCCUUCGGGGCUAAAUGCAUUUGUGCUAAGUUAUAGCAUUUUAUAGACAACUUGUUGACUAUGAUUUGUCUUGUAGCUUACUCGCUUAUGUUAUUUUACCUACGCUUAGGAUGUUGAGCGCAUGUCUCUCUCU